GCGGCCAUUUCAGAAUAGGGCAAACAACCGACCUCUGUCUUAAAGGAACAAGAGCUAAGCUAAGGGCUGAACAGCUUUGUGAAGGCCUGCGGGACGGUACGGGGUGGUUGCGUGAGAGAAAGAAAAAAAAAUACAUGUUUUAGCGUAUGUUUAUGAUGAUCUCGGGAGAUUCGAAAGGCGGAUGCCCGAGGUGGAGAAAAUACCCUUCUCUGUGUUCCCGUGCAACUGUGAAUUAUCCUCUAACAGUUUUGCCAUUCUCACCAAGAUGCCCAAUGUAGUCAUCUGACAGAAUCAGAUGAACUUAUGACCAAAGAGGUGUGCCUCAUGGAAUGUCAAGUCCAGAUUUUUACUUAUUUGACAGAGAAAGAGAGAGAGCACACAAGCAGGG